AUUGAACGCUGGCGGCGGGCCUAACACAUGCAAGUCGAACGAGUGGCGGACGGGUGAGUAAUGUCUGGGAAACUGCCUGAUGGAGGGGGAUAACUACUGGAAACGGUAGCUAAUACCGCAUACCAUCAGAUGUGCCCAGAUGGGAUUCGCUAGUUGGUGGGGUAACGGCUCACCAAGGCGACGAUCCCUAGCUGGUCGGAGAGGAUGACCAGUCACUCGGGAACUGAGACACGGACCAGAAUCCUAAGGGAGGCAGCAGCGGGAAAUAUUGGGCAAUGGGCGCAAGCCUGAUGCAGCCAUGCCGCGUGUAUGAAGAAGGCCUUCGGGGUGUAAAGUACUUUCAGCGGGGAGGCGUUACCCGCAGAAGAAGCACCGGCUAACUCCGUGCCAGCAGCCGCGGUAAUAC
rnacentral:rRNA from 1 species